rnacentral:rRNA from 1 species
UACAGAGGGGGCAAGCGUUGUUCGGAAUUACUGGGCGUAAAGGCGCGUAGGCGGCCUGUUAAGUCGAACGUGAAAUCCCCGGGCUCAACCCGGGAACUGCGUCCGAUACUGGCAGGCUCGAAUCCGGGAGAGGGAUGCGGAAUUCCAGGUGUAGCGGUGAAAUGCGUAGAUAUCUGGAGGAAUACCAGUGGCGAAGGCGGCAUCCUGGACCGGCAUGACGCUGAGGAGCGAAAGCUAGGGGAGCAAACGGG